rnacentral:rRNA from 1 species
AUUGAACGCUGGCGGCAGGCUUAACACAUGCAAGUCGAGCGGGGGAAGGUAGCUUGCUACCGGACCUAGCGGCGGACGGGUGAGUAAUGCUUAGGAAUCUGCCUAUUAGUGGGGGACAACAUCUCGAAAGGGAUGCUAAUACCGCAUACGUCCUACGGGAGAAAGCAGGGGAUCUUCGGACCUUGCGCUAAUAGAUGAGCCUAAGUCGGAUUAGCUAGUUGGUGGGGUAAAGGCCUACCAAGGCGACGAUCUGUAGCGGGUCUGAGAGGAUGAUCCGCCACACUGGGACUGAGACACGGCCCAGACUCCUACGGGAGGCAGCAGUGGGAAUAUUGGACAAUGGGGGGAACCCUGAUCCAGCCAUGCCGCGUGUGUGAAGAAGGCCUUAUGGUUGUAAAGCACUUUAAGCGAGGAGGAGGCUACUUUAGUUAAUACCUAGAGAUAGUGGACGUUACUCGCAGAAUAAGCACCGGCUAACUCUGUGCCAGCAGCCGCGGUAAUACAGAGGGUGCGAGCGUUAAUCGGAUUUACUGGGCGUAAAGCGUGCGUAGGCGGCUUAUUAAGUCGGAUGUGAAAUCCCCGAGCUUAACUUG